ACUGCUCAGUAACACGUAGUCAACAUGCCCAGGGGACGUGGAUAACCUCGGGAAACUGAGGAUAAACCGCGAUAAGCCAUGAUUUCUGGAAUGAUUCAUGACUAAAACCUAUAUGGCCCCUGGAUUGGACUGCGGCCGAUCAGGCUGUUGGUGAGGUAAUGGCCCACCAAACCUAUUACCGGUACGGGCUCUGAGAGGAGGAGCCCGGAGAUGGGCACUGAGACAAGGGCCCAGGCCCUAUGGGGCGCAGCAGGCGCGAAACCUCUGCAAUAGGCGAAAGCUUGACAGGGUUACUCUGAGUGAUUUCCGCUAAGGGAAUCUUUUGGCACUUCUAAAAAUGGUGCAGAAUAAGGGGUGGGCAAGUCUGGUGUCAGCCGCCGCGGUAAUACCAGCACCCCGAGUGGUCGGGACGAUUAUUGGGCCUAAAGCAUCCGUAGCCGGUCCUGCAAGUCUUCCGUUAAAUCCAGCUGCUUAACAGAUGGGCCGCGGGAGAUACUACAGGGCUAGGAGGCGGGAGAGGCAAGCGGUACUUUAUGGGUAGGGGUAAAAUCCGCUGAUCCAUAGAAGACCACCAGUGGCGAAGGCGGCUUGCCAGAACGCGCUCGACGGUGAGGGAUGAAAGCUGGGGGAGCAAACCGGAUUAGAUACCCGGGUAGUCCCAGCUGUAAACGAUGCAGACUCGGUGAUGGGUUGGCCUCGCGCCUGCCCAGUGCCGCAGGGAAGCCGUUAAGUCUGCCGCCUGGGGAGUACGGUCGCAAGACUGAAACUUAAAGGAAUUGGCGGGGGAGCAC
rnacentral:rRNA from 1 species